rnacentral:lncRNA from 1 species
GUGUGUGUGCACGUGUGAGUGUGCGUGGGUGUGCGUCUGUGUGCAUACGUGUGCGUGUAUGUGUGUGUGCGUGUGUGCAUAUGUGUUUGCACAUGCGUGUGUGGGUGUGUGUACGUGUGCAUGUGUAUGUAUGUGUGAGUGUGCUUGUGUGCAUGUGUAUGCAUGUGUGUGUGCAUGUGUGUUCAUACCCUCAGGUGGUUCGCCCUGCUCAAGUCUGGGAUGAUCUUGUAAAAGCUUUACCCAAUUAAAUACGGAGGAAGUGAUGCUGUACCCGUUCUAGGCUUAAGCUUAAAAAAGAGCCAGCAGC